CAUUCUGUAAAGCACUCAGUAUAAUUAUUCUUCUAAAGAUAUCAUAGAAGGGAAAUGCUAAUGUGCAACUCAAAUGUAACCAUUUGUACCUAUGCAAGGUCCACUGCAGGCAAACUAGACAGUUGUUUCCUAUCUUCAUAGAAGAAAAAAUGGCAGUGAGUAGCCAGAUAUUAUUUAAAGAGAGGGUUUCUGGAGUGAACAUAGCAAUAUUUAACUUCAAGAAUGGAUUCUAAACUCUGGAACAAGCUUACCAAAGGACAGACAAACCUCGUCAAUGAAAGGAAAAUCGCAAUGAAAAUUUGAAGUUCCCUUGGCUUUACUUUGUGAGAAUUUCAAGCCUCGAACAUUUCAGGCACAGCUGGUUCCUGCUGAUUACUCCUUCCACUGUCAGAGGUGCCAGUGAGGUGUGUGCAUACAUCUGUGGAGCCGUUCUCCUGGAGACAAGCACACGGGACACAAGGGAAGAGACAGUGAGUACUGAUGUGCGAGUCGUGAAAAAUGCAAAG
rnacentral:lncRNA from 1 species